AGAGUUUGAUCCUGGCUCAGGACGAACGCUGGCGGCGUGCUUCAUACAUGCAAGUCGAACGAGGUCCAUCGAGUGGCAACACUCGUGAAGACCUAGUGGCGAACGGGUGAGUAACACGUGAGGAACCUGCCCCGAUCUCUGGGAUAACAGUGGGAAACCGCUGCUAAUACCAGAUGGGCUCGGAUGACGACAUCGUCGACCGAGGAAAGCUUUUGCGGACCGGGAGGGCCUCGCGGCCUAUCAGCUUGUUGGUGGGGUAACGGCCUACCAAGGCAUCGACGGGUAGCUGGUCUGAGAGGACGACCAGCCACACUGGGACUAAGACACGGCCCAGACUCCUACGGGAGGCAGCAGUAGGGAAUCUUGCGCAAUGGGCGAAAGCCUGACGCAGCAACGCCGCGUGGGGGAUGAAGGCCCUCGGGUUGUAAACCCCUUUCAGCAGGAACGAAUCUGACGGUACCUGCAGAAGAAGGUCCGGCCAACUACGUGCCAGCAGCCGCGGUAACACGUAGGGGCCAAGCGUUGUCCGGAUUUAUUGGGCGUAAAGAGCUCGUAGGCGGUUCGACAAGUCGGGUGUGAAAACUCCGGGCUCAACCCGGAGACGCCACCCGAUACUGUCGUGACUGGAGUCCGGUAGGGGAGUGGGGAAUUCCUGGUGUAGCGGUGAAAUGCGCAGAUAUCAGGAGGAACACCGGUGGCGAAGGCGCCACUCUGGGCCGGUACUGACGCUGAGGAGCGAAAGCGUGGGUAGCAAACAGGAUUAGAUACCCUAGUAGUCC
rnacentral:rRNA from 1 species